CUCUGCUUCCUGAAUGCCACGAGGUGAACAACUUUGCCUUCACUCUGCCCCUCUGCCAUGCCACCCUGCCUUGGAGCCAGCAGCAUGUAGACUGAAACAUCUACAAACUAGCUGAGAGUCUAUGGUGCCAGAGGACUCCGCAGUGCCAUUCUGUUUCCCUUCUCCUUCCCACUGUUGGAGUGCAGAGUCUGGCACACAGUGGGCUGACAGCAAGCCUGGUGAGGGAGGGAGUGGGUGACAUCUGUGUUGCUCCUCCUCCUGGCAGGAAUCCUGCCCAUCCCCAGCCAUCCUGCAAGGCUGUCCUGACUGCUGUCCCCAUGGUGCUACCCUAGCAACCCAGGGAAAUGCUUAUGGGGCUCACUUUCUCAUUCCCCAGGGAGCCUGGUAGGAGUCUCUGACCUGUCUGCACACUCACUGCUGCUGUGCCAAGCAAGCCAAACAUGAUCGGAGACCUACUGGGCUAGAGAAAGAGCAGACAGUCACUCCGCACCGAGGCAGCCUCCACAUCCAGCACAGUGCUCUGGACAAGAUUCCUGUGGACUUGCUAACAUUCAUGAAUCACAAAAGGAAUCCCUCAGAGCUGUAUUUGCAAAGUGCAAAAACUCUGUUCUUAUGCUGUAUCCGAAGGGAACCCAGGUAGUGCUGCAAGGAAGUUCCAACACAGUAGAGUCUGGU
ensembl:lncRNA